UAAUACGGAGGAUCCGAGCGUUAUCCGGAAUUAUUGGGUUUAAAGGGUUCGUAGGCGGUUUGAUAAGUCAGUGGUGAAAUUUCUUAGCUUAACUAAGACACGGCCAUUGAUACUGUUAGACUUGAAUAGUAUGGAAGUAACUAGAAUAUGUAGUGUAGCGGUGAAAUGCUUAGAUAUUACAUGGAAUACCAAUUGCGAAGGCAGGUUACUACGUACUGAUUGACGCUGAUGAACGAAAGCGUGGGGAGCGAACAGGAUUAGAUACCCUGGUAGUCCACGCCGUAAACGAUGGAUACUAGCUGUUCGGAUUUCGGUCUGAGUGGCUAAGCGAAAGUGAUAAGUAUCCCACCUGGGGAGUACGUUCGCAAGAAUGAAACUCAAAGGAAUUGACGG
rnacentral:rRNA from 1 species